GUCCCGCUAUGGGGCAGAGCUAUGGGUCCCGCUAUGGGGCAGAGCUAUGGGGCAGGGCUGUGCUAUGGGGCAGGGCUAUGGGUCCCACUAUGGGGCAGAGCUAUGGGUCCAUACCAGUACGGGGUGCCCACGAAGCUGCAGGCCGAGGCGCUGUGUGCGGCUGAGCCGAAGUCGCUGAGUUUGAUGCGGCCCCGCGGGGACAGCAGAACGUUGGCGGCCUUCACGUCUCUGUGGGGCAGAGCGGGGGGUCAGAGG
ensembl:lncRNA